GAUGAACGCUGGCGGCGUGCUUAACACAUGCAAGUCGAACGAAGAUGCCGGAGUGCUUGCACUUUGGCAGACUGAGUGGCGGACGGGUGAGUAACGCGUGGGUAACCUGCCUUAUACAGGGGGAUAACAGUUGGAAACGACUGCUAAUACCGCAUAAGCGCACGGUAUCGCAUGAUACAGUGUGAAAAACUCCGGUGGUAUAAGAUGGACCCGCGUCUGAUUAGCUUGUUGGUGAGGUAACGGCUCACCAAGGCGACGAUCAGUAGCCGGCCUGAGAGGGUGAACGGCCACAUUGGGACUGAGACACGGCCCAAACUCCUACGGGAGGCAGCAGUGGGGAAUAUUGCACAAUGGGGGAAACCCUGAUGCAGCGACGCCGCGUGAGUGAUGAAGUAUUUCGGUAUGUAAAACUCUAUCAGCAGGGAAGAUAAUGACGGUACCUGACUAAGAAGCACCGG
rnacentral:rRNA from 1 species